CUACGGGACGCAGCAGUGAGGAAUAUUGCGCAAUGGGGGAAACCCUGACGCAGCGACGCCGCGUGGAUGAUGAAGGCCUUAGGGUCGUAAAAUCCUGUCAGGUGGGAAGAAGUGGAUAUAGAUUAAUACUCUAUUUCUUUGACGGUACCACCAAAGGAAGCACCGGCUAACUCCGUGCCAGCAGCCGCGGUAAUACGGAGGGUGCAAACGUUGUUCGGAAUUACUGGGCGUAAAGCGCGCGUAGGCGGUUUGUUAAGUCAGAUGUGAAAGUCCAUGGCUCAACUAGGGAAGUGCAUUUGAAACUGACAGACUUGAGUACUGGAGGGGGUGAUGGAAUUCCCGGUGUAGAGGUGAAAUUCGUAGAUAUCGGGAGGAAUACCGGUGGCGAAGGCGAUCACCUGGCCAGAUACUGACGCUGAGGUGCGAAAGCGUGGGGAGCAAACGGGAUUAGAUACCCGUGUAGUC
rnacentral:rRNA from 1 species